GUUGGGAUGAUGAAAAAAAUCGAAAUCAGCACAUUGAUUUUUAUUAAUAUGAUCAUACAACCAGCUACUUCUGACUAAC